AUUUACUGUUUGUCAAAACAAAUUGUCAUCACUGAAAGAUCCCCAGAGCAGGGAGACCCUCACUCAAGUCUUGGGAAAUCUCGGACCCCAGACACAGAGAGACCA
rnacentral:pre_miRNA from 14 species